GACGAACGCUGGCGGCGUGCCUAAUACAUGCAAGUCGAGCGGACCACUUCGGUGGUCAGCGGCGGACGGGUGAGUACCACGUGGGCAACCUGUCUGUAAGACUGGGAUAACACCGGGAAACCGGUGCUCAUACCGGAUAAUACUUUCUUUCACAUGAAGGAAAGCUGAAAGACGGUUUCGGCUGCAACUUACAGAUGGGCCCGCGGCGCAUUAGCUAGUUGGUGAGGUAACGGCUCACCAAGGCAACGAUGCGUAGCCUACCUGAGAGGGUGAUCGGCCACACUGGGACUGAUACACGGCCCAGACUCCUACUGGAGGCAGCAGUAGGGAAUCUUCCGCAAUGGACGAAAGUCUGACGGAGCAACGCCGCGUGAGCGAUGAAGGCCUUCGGGUCGUAAAGCUCUGUUGUCAGGGAAGAACAAGUACCGGAGUAACUGCCGGUACCUUGACGGUACCUGACCAGAAAGCCACGGCUAACUACGUGCCAGCCGCCGCAGUAAUAC
rnacentral:rRNA from 1 species